rnacentral:rRNA from 1 species
AGAGUUUGAUCCUGGCUCAGAUUGAACGCUGGCGGCAGGCCUAACACAUGCAAGUCGAGCGGUAGAGAGGUGCUUGCACCUCUUGAGAGCGGCGGACGGGUGAGUAAAGCCUAGGAAUCUGCCUGGUAGUGGGGGAUAACGCUCGGAAACGGACGCUAAUACCGCAUACGUCCUACGGGAGAAAGCAGGGGACCUUCGGGCCUUGCGCUAUCAGAUGAGCCUAGGUCGGAUUAGCUAGUUGGUGAGGUAAUGGCUCACCAAGGCGACGAUCCGUAACUGGUCUGAGAGGAUGAUCAGUCACACUGGAACUGAGACACGGUCCAGACUCCUACGGGAGGCAGCAGUGGGGAAUAUUGGACAAUGGGCGAAAGCCUGAUCCAGCCAUGCCGCGUGUGUGAAGAAGGUCUUCGGAUUGUAAAGCACUUUAAGUUGGGAGGAAGGGCAUUAACCUAAUACGUUAGUGUUUUGACGUUACCGACAGAAUAAGCACCGGCUAACUCUGUGCCAGCAGCCGCGGUAAUACAGAGGGUGCAAGCGUUAAUCGGAAUUACUGGGCGUAAAGCGCGCGUAGGUGGUUCGUUAAGUUGGAUGUGAAAUCCCCGGGCUCAACCUGGGAACUGCAUUCAAAACUGUCGAGCUAGAGUAUGGUAGAGGGUGGUGGAAUUUCCUGUGUAGCGGUGAAAUGCGUAGAUAU